rnacentral:rRNA from 1 species
GUGCAAUGGCAUAAGCCAGCUUGACUGCGAGCGUGACGGCGCGAGCAGGUGCGAAAGCAGGUCAUAGUGAUCCGGUGGUUCUGAAUGGAAGGGCCAUCGCUCAACGGAUAAAAGGUACUCCGGGGAUAACAGGCUGAUACCGCCCAAGAGUUCAUAUCGACGGCGGUGUUUGGCACCUCGAUGUCGGCUCAUCACAUCCUGGGGCUGAAGUAGGUCCCAAGGGUAUGGCUGUUCGCCAUUUAAAGUGGUACGCGAGCUGGGUUUAGAACGUCGUGAGACAGUUCGGUCCCUAUCUGCCGUGGGCGCUGGAGAACUGAGGGGGGCUGCUCCUAGUACGAGAGGACCGGAGUGGACGCAUCACUGGUGUUCGGGUUGUCAUGCCAAUGGCACUGCCCGGUAGCUAAAUGCGGAAGAGA